AGAUUUAAAAGAAUGGGUUCAUCAUCACGGUUUGUCUGAUUUAGGUUUUAAUUACAACGUUAUAGCAAUUUUAGGAAGCCAGAGUAGCGGUAAAAGCACCUUGUUAAAUAAUUUAUUUCACACAUCGUUCGAUGUGAUGAAUACUAAGAUGGGACAUAGGCAAACGACUCAAGGAUUAUGGUUAAGUUAUGAUAAUUGUGACGACGCGAAGACAUUAAGUAGUAAUAAUGACAUUAAUAGUAAUAAUAAUGGAACUAAUGUGAGUAAAAAAAAACCUACUUUAAUAAUAGAUGUGGAAGGAAAUGAUUCGAAAGAAAGAGGAGAAAACAGGUUAACGUUUGAGCAUCGCUCUUCUUUAUUUUCACUAGCAUUAGCAGAUUGUGUUAUUGUUAAUUUGUGGUAUCACUCUUUAGGUAAUUUUACUGCCUCUAAUUAUGGUUUGUUGAAAACUGUAAUGGAAGUCGAUUUAGAAUUAUUUCAAAAUGACACACAGUCAUCAAAAACUAUUUUAUUAUUUGUAGUUAGAGAUUGGUUUGAAGAGUUUGCGUCUAUUGAUGUAGUAAGAGGCAAAAUAUUAGAUGAUUAUAUAUAUAAGAUAUGGUCUGAAAUGAAAAAACCAGCUAAUAUAGAUAAAACAAUAGAUGUUAAUAAUUAUUUUAUAAUUGAAGUGGUAGGUUUAUCACAUGGUAUAAUUAAAAAAGAAGAGUUUAUAAAAGAUGUACAACAAUUAAGACACAAAUGGAUACAUGAAUUAAGGCCAAAUGUAUAUUCAAGAAAUAUCCCAGCAGAUGGGUUUCCACAAUAUUGUUAUAAUAUAUGGGAUACAAUCGUACAACAAUCACAAUUAGAUAUACCGUCACAAAAAGAAAUGUUGGCCACUUUUAGAUGUCAAGAAAUAAAAAAUAAUGUUUUAAAUAAUAUAAAUAUAAUAAUAAAAGACAAACUACAAUCAUUACAAAAUAAACCUAUUCAUAAUUUCAAAACUUGGGCUGAAAAAGAAAUAAUUGAAAAGGGUGUAGAUGAAUAUUUAUUUGAUGCAUCUAGAUAUAAAGAAAGCAUUUGUAAAAAAACAUUAGAAGAAUUAUUAGAACAUAUAUAUAUGCAACUACAAGUAAUAGUAGAUUCUAAUUUAAAUUACUUGCAAAAAGUGUUAUCUACUAAAUUUUCAAAAGUAUUAAAUGGUAUGUAUGAUGUAUGUCUUACUGAUAAAAGUAGUUUUUCGUUCGCUUUGGAAUCAAACGUAAAGCAAUUAAAAAAUGGCAACAAACAACGUAGUAUUACAGAAAAGGAGAAUACGAACGGUACGAUUUCACGUAGCAGUAACAGUGGUAACAUAAAAAAUGACAAAAGAAAUCAAUUGGGAAAAAGAAAAAGAAGAAGAAGAAGAAGAAGAAAAAAAAAAAAAAAAAAACGAAGAAUCAGAUAAACAACAUAAAUGUAUCACUUUGUGGUCCAAUUUUUUAUAUAAUGCUGAUAAGUUAGAAUAUGAUAUAUUAAAUGAUUUUUUCAAAUAUUAUGAACAAUGUAAUGUUUAUAUUAAACAAAGUAACACAAUACAUGAAUUUAAUUAUAAACCUUCAUUACGUGUGUUAACAACAUCUAUGCAUAAAGAUACAAAUAGAAUAAGACAUGUGCAAUGUAAUCUUCUUUUAAACAAAACUAAAGGCGCAAUAAAAAGUGAAUUCAAAAAUAUAGAUUAUUUGUU
ensembl:lncRNA